GUAGUCUCGCACAGAUGCAUAUCAAUAAGCGGAGGAAAAGAAACUAACAAGGAUUCCCUCAGUAACGGCGAGUGAAGCGGGAAGAGCUCAAAUUUGAAAUCUUGAAAGGUCACCUUUCACGAAUUGUAGUUUAAAGAAGUGUUUUCUGUUACGAUCGUAAUAUAAGUUCUUUGGAAUAGGACAUCACAGAGGGUGAGAAUCCCGUCUAUGAUUGCGAUUUGUAGCUUUGUGAUACACUUUCAAAGAGUCGGGUUGUUUGGGAAUGCAGCCCAAAACGGGAGGUAAAUUUCUUCUAAGGCUAAAUAUUGGCGAGAGACCGAUAGCGAACAAGUACCGUGAGGGAAAGAUGAAAAGAACUUUGAAAAGAGAGUUAAAUAGUACGUGAAAUUGUCAAAAGGGAAGCGUUUAACACCAGUGUUGUUUUCUGAAAAUCAACCUCUGUUAGCUUUAUGCAUGUUUGUUUAGACCUAAUCAGCUAUCUUGCAUGUUCUAUUGUUUGCAGUGGUGCACUUUUCAGUUUACAGGUCAACAUCAGUUUUUUUUACCGUAAAAAAGUUAAAGAAAGGUAGCUCAUGGCUCCGGUCGUGAGUGUUAUAGUCUUUUUCCUAUGCGGUAGGAGAGACUGAGGUCUGCAGUGUAGGCUAUUUGGCUAGAUACUCAGGUGCUAUGUGAUACCAUUUCAUAAAUAACUUGUUGAUUAUGUUUUGUCUAUUGCAUACUCGCUUGUACUAUCAUACCUACGCUUAGGAUGUUGAGUCGUAGAGCACGCAG
rnacentral:rRNA from 1 species